rnacentral:rRNA from 1 species
UACGUAGGGUCCGAGCGUUGUCCGGAAUUACUGGGCGUAAAGAGCUCGUAGGUGGUUUGUCGCGUUGUUCGUGAAAACUCACAGCUCAACUGUGGGCGUGCGGGCGAUACGGGCAGACUUGAGUACUGCAGGGGAGACUGGAAUUCCUGGUGUAGCGGUGGAAUGCGCAGAAUAUCAGGAGGAACACCGGUGGCGAAGGCGGGUCUCUGGGGCAGUAA